rnacentral:lncRNA from 1 species
GCAGGAUUGGAUACUUUAUAUAAUCUUGAAUGUUGUAAUGAUUGACUGCUAAACAUUACAUUUAUAGUAUUCUGAUAUGCUUUCAAUAUGUUAUCAAAACAGUUUUAAACAGGUUCUAGGCAUUUUAUAUCAGAAAAUAUGCAAAUAGGGUAAGCUGGCAAUAAUUAAAGUCUUGUUUUCAAAUUAUUUUAAAAAUUGAAACAGGG